UUACGGCCAUAUCAUGUUGAAACAUUAGCUCCCAUACAAUCACUAAAGUUAAGCAAUGUCAAGCCUGGUCAGUACCCAGAUGGGUGACCACUUGAGAAUACUAGGUACUGAAA